AUGAACGCUAGCGACAGGCCUAACACAUGCAAGUCAGGGGCAGCACAAGGAGCAAUCUGAGGUGGCGACCGGCGCACGGGUGAGUAACACGUAUGCAACCUGCCUGUAAGCGGGGAAUAACCCGUUGAAAGACGGACUAAUACCGCAUAAUACUAAAUUACUGCAUGGUAAUUAUUUAACAUUUAUGGCUUACAGAUGGGCAUGCGCAUGAUUAGCUAGUUGGAGAGGUAACGGCUCCCCAAGGCAACGAUCAUUAGGGGUUCUGAGAGGAAGGUCCCCCACACUGGUACUGAGACACGGACCAGACUCCUACGGGAGGCAGCAGUGAGGAAUAUUGGUCAAUGGACGAGAGUCUGAACCAGCCAAGUCGCGUGCAGGAAGAAUGUCCUAUGGGAUUGUAAACUGCUUUUGCAGGGGAAUAAAGUGCAUCACGUGUGAUGUUUUGUAUGUACUCUGCGAAUAAGGAUCGGCUAACUCCGUGCCAGCAGCUGC
rnacentral:rRNA from 1 species